rnacentral:rRNA from 1 species
GGGCACUUCAAGUCUGUUGUCAAAGGUCGGAGCUUAACUCCGGUUCGGCAGUGGAAACUGGAGUGCUAGAGGGCGACAGGGGUAGAGGGAAUUCCCAGUGUAGCGGUGAAAUGCGUAGAGAUUGGGAAGAACACCGGUGGCGAAAGCGCUCUACUGGGUCGCACCUGACCCUCAGGGACGAAAGCUAAGGUAGCGAAAGGGAUUAGAUACCCCUGUAGUCUUAGCCGUAAACGAUGGAUACUAGGCGUGGUUUGUAUCGACCCAAGCCGUGCCGAAGCUAACGCGUUAAGUAUCCCGCCUGGGGAGUACGCACGCAAGUGUGAAACUCAAAGGAAUUGACGGGGGCCCGCACAAGCGGUGGAGGAUGUGGUUUAAUUCGAUGCAACGCGAAGAACCUUACCAGGGCUUGACAUCCCGCGAAUCUUGCUGAAAGGUGAGAGUGCCUUCGGGAGCGCGGAGACAGGUGGUGCAUGGCUGUCGUCAGCUCGUGUCGUGAGAUGUUGGGUUAAGUCCCGCAACGAGCGCAACCCUCGUCCUUAGUUGCCAGCAUUAAGUUGGGCACUCUAGGGAGACUGCCGGUGACAAACCGGAGGAAGGUGAGGAUGACGUCAAGUCAGCAUGCCCCUUAUGCUCUGGGCGACACACGUCCUACAAUGGUCGGGACAAAGGGGAGCAAGCUCGCGAGAGUAAGCGAAUCCCAGCAAACUCGGCCUCAGUUCAGAUGUGCAGGCUGCAACUCGCCUGCAGAAGGAGGAAUCGCU